AGGGAAAUAGCUCAGUGGUAGAGUGCGUGCUUAGCAUGCAUGAGGUCCUGGGUUCCAUCCCCAGUACCUG
rnacentral:tRNA from 1 species